CCCUUAGACGUUCUGGGCCGCACGCGCGCUACACUGACCAGUGCAACAAGCAUCCGUCCUUGGCCGACAGGCUCGGGCAAUCUUUGAACGCUGGUCGUGAUGGGGAUAGACUUUUGCUAUUUUUGGUCUUCAACGAGGAAUUCCUAGUAAACGCAAGUCAUCAACUUGCAUUGAUUACGUCCCUGCCCUUUGUACACACCGCCCGUCGCACCUACCGAUUGAAUGGUCCGGUGAAGCCUCCGGAUUGGCGCGCACCUCGGUGCCGCCGAGAAGUUGGCUAAACCUUACCAUUUAGAGGAAGGUGAAGUCGUAACA
rnacentral:rRNA from 1 species